UUAUGCAUACAUGGGAACAGACAUCUAAAAUAAAUAUUUAGUAAUUUUUGUUUUAUGAUCCUUCAAGGUGCCAGUUCAGUGGAGUAAAGAGAAAAAGAUUGGCUGAAGUCAUAAGCAACACAGCUGUGCUGGAGAAAAGUAUAAGCUUCGAGACUGAUCUUCAAGAUGCUUUCAAUUAAAUAUUAAGUAAUAGUGUGGCUUGAACAAUUGUAUGUAAAAAAUUAGGAUAACUUUAGUUAAUUGAAUAGUAUUAAAAAUUAUAGGUAUAUUUUCCAUGGCCCACUGGAGUGUAAACCAUUCUGUUUGUGGUACAACUUACCUCGGAGAGUGUACAAAGGCAAGUGGUGGCAACCUGAGUGAUGGACACUGUGGGUGACAGAAGAUUGCUUUUGAGGGAGUAAGCUGUAUGAAGUGAGAAUAAACCUGCGGAGUUCCUCCCAUUGACUUAAUCCACUGGACUUCCUGUUUUCUGUGACACACACCAUGCAGAGAGUGAAGCCGGCUGCCAGCCUGUGAGUCAUGCAGGAGCUACAUCUUCAGACACUAAAUGGACCCAGCCCGGCAUUCUGUGGAAACAGAGGUGGUCUACGUGGGCUUGUGAGUGUGCCUCCAAGAACAGCCACAGGAUAACUUGCAUCAAAUACAGCUGUAAUAGAAUUACAGGCAUG
rnacentral:lncRNA from 1 species